AGUGAACGCUGGCGGUAGGCCUAACACAUGCAAGUCGAACGGCAGCACAGUAAGAGCUUGCUCUUACGGGUGGCGAGUGGCGGACGGGUGAGGAAUACAUCGGAAUCUACUUUUUCGUGGGGGAUAACGUAGGGAAACUUACGCUAAUACCGCAUACGACCUACGGGUGAAAGCAGGGGAUAUUCGGACCUUGCGCGAUUGAAUGAGCCGAUGUCGGAUUAGCUAGUUGGCGGGGUAAAGGCCCACCAAGGCGACGAUCCGUAGCUGGUCUGAGAGGAUGAUCAGCCACACUGGAACUGAGACACGGUCCAGACUCCUACGGGAGGCAGCAGUGGGGAAUAUUGGACAAUGGGCGCAAGCCUGAUCCAGCCAUACCGCGUGGGUGAAGAAGGCCUUCGGGUUGUAAAGCCCUUUUGUUGGGAAAGAAAAGCAGCAGGUUAAUACCCCGCUGUUCUGACGGUACCCAAAGAAUAAGCACCGGCUAACUUCGC
rnacentral:rRNA from 1 species